rnacentral:rRNA from 1 species
UACAGAGACUGCAAGCGUUAUUCGGAUUCACUGGGCGUAAAGGGUGCGCAGGCGGUCGGGUGUGUCAGAUGUGAAAUCCCGAGGCUCAACCUCGGAACUGCGUCUGAAACUACUCGACUAGAGUACUGGAGAGGGUAACGGAACUCACGGUGUAGCAGUGAAAUGCGUAGAUAUCAAGAGGAACACCAGUGGCGAAGGCGAGUCCCUGGACAAUACCUGACACUGAGGCACGAAAGCCGGGGGAGCAAACAGG